CUCAGGCCCUGAACCUGGCAAUCCUAAUAUGGAGUGAAGACUUUUUUCCUUCCCUUUUUGUAUUAUCAGCGGAUUGGGCCAUCCACAAUGAGGCAUGCCAGACGAAAGAGGAACAGCUGGGGAGACCUCAGGCUUGGAGCCCUGGAAGAAGAUAAAUCCAAUGGUAUGCUUGACAGUCUUGACCUUGAAGUCAAUGCCCACAGUACUAACAAAGGCUGAAGUGAAGGAGUCAUCAGCGUAUCGGAAGAGGAAUGAUGUCUUGCCUACACUGCUGUUGCCAAUGAUCAGCAGCUUGAACAUGUAGUCAAAAUUCUGGUCAGCAGCAUCCUUGGGUGCCUGUCGCGUGUCAUUUGCAGAAGCCAUCUGCGGAGAUUGGAGGAAGGCAUAUUAAAUUAUAGUGUAGCUCCAAGGCUCAGAAACCCACCACCCUUUUCAGAGCUUGCAGAUAGAGCCAGAUCCAGACAGCAACGAGCAGUCAGUCAUUUGCUUGGCCCCUGAGCUUAACCAAACUUGCUACUGCUCCAAGAGCACCUCUUUACAUGAGACACCCAAGGUGGUCAGAAUCAGUGAAAAAAUCAGUUUGGUAAGAGGGAAGAGGCCCACCAAGGUUGCCUUGCUUGAGCCCCCUUCUGUCAAAUGCUAAAGCCAACAGAACUCACAGACCACAGUACUGAGCUUUUAAUUAAAAGGACUGUCCCAGCACAACACCAUCUGUAUCCUAUCUCCCUGCCCUAUAGCAAGUAUAUCCACACAGGGUGUGUUUAUUAUUAACUCCACAGUUGUUAGCAAUAGAUAUGGGGAUUGUGCUAUUCGAUAGAGAGAGUAUUAUGUCACUGGUGGCAAUGAAGUAGCAACAUAAGCAUAACUGCUUCUGGGCACUCAGCCAUCAGUUCCUGCAAAGGAACAUGCUCACAUCCAGUGCCUCUAAUUGUCCCUGUGGCUAUAAUCUUAGAGCUAUGUGUCAGGUUGUGUUAUAGUUCCAAAGACUGAACACUCUAGAAGUUUAUAUGACCUGUGAUUAAAAAAUGUUGCCAUCAGUAAGGGAACAGCACUGGUGGCAAUCUGUAUGAGCCUUUAGUUUACAACCUGUCACUGACUCUGGAGCUUACACAGGUACAAGCACUGUGGCUUACCCACAUGGAAAGGCAUGGGCAGCUGUCUCACAGCAAAAAAUAUGCACAUUCUUAAACCCGCAUACGGAAAGCCUUUUCAGUGCAGAUCUGACUCUCCCUCACUUGAUGCACAUUCAUACGGCAGCUUAUAACAAUCUAUUUUUGCAGGUCUCAGGAGCAUAGCAAGGGUGGCCCUAUUUGUUCAACUGCAUUGUACUGCUGAUUGUUAUAUGUUGCUUUAAUUGCAGUCUAUGGUAAUUAUGUGAUACUGUUUUUUAAUCACUGCAUUUUAUAAGCUUUGUUUUUAUUGUUGUACUUUAUAAAUGUUGUUAGCUGCUCUGGGCUGUAUAUAA